rnacentral:lncRNA from 1 species
GCGAGGUAUGUGUCUGCGCGCGAGGUAUGUGUCUGCGCGCGAGGUAUGUGUCUGCGCGCGAGGUACGUGUCUCCGCGCGAGGUACGUGUCUCCGCGCGAGGUACGUGUCUGCGCGCGAGGUAUGUGUCUCCGUGCGAGGUAUGCGUCUCCGUGCGAGGUAUGCGUCUCCGUGCGAGGUAUGUGUCUGUGUGCGAGGAUCUCGGCGGGAUUGUGGGGGAGGGUGGUGUGUGUGAGAGAGAGAGCGAGCAACCUGUCCUGACCUGCCUCCUACGUAGCCCCGGACAAGAAACCCAAGGAGGAGGCGGGCGCCCCGAAGGACGGGGAAGGGUCCCCCAAAGGCAAGGAGAAAGACGCCGAGGAUCCCAAGCCGCGCGCCCUUCACAAGACCUGCUCCCUCUUCAUCCGCAACAUCGCCCCCAACAUCCCGCAGGCCGAGAUCGUGGCGUUCUGCAAAAGGUACCCCGGCUUCAUGAGAGUGGCCCUUUCGGACCCGCAACCGGAGCGGAGGUAAGGAUCCAAGGUCCCGUCGCCGUCCCGCCCUCCGAGCGGGAGUUUUUUUUGGGGGGGGAGGGGCUUGAUGGAAGCAGUGACACCCCCAUCAAGAAGAAAGGAAAGAAGAGAAGAAGGGAAGGAGGAAAGGAAGAGAGAAAUAGGAAGGAAGAGAAAGGGGAAGGAAGAAAGGAAAGAAGAGAAUGACGAAGGAAGGAAAGGAGGAAGAGAGGAAUAGGAAGAGAAAGGGGAAGGAAGAAAGGAAAGGAGGAAGAGAAUGAGGAAGGAAGAGGAAGAGAGGAAUAGGGAGGAAGAGAAAGGGGAAGGAAGAAAGGAAAGAAGAGAAUGAGGAAGGAAGGAAAGGACGAAGAGAGGAAUAGGAAGGAAGACAAAGGAGGAAGGAAGAAGAGGGAGGGAGGAAAGGAGGAAGAGAGGAAUGGGGAGGAAGAAAAAGGGGAAGGAAGAAAGGGAAGGAGGAAGAGAGGAACAAGGAAGAGAAAGGGGAGGGAAGAAAGGAAAAGAGAAUGAGGAAGGAAGGAAAGGAGGAAGGAAGGAAAGGAGGAAGAGAGGAAUAAGGAAGAGAAAGGGAAAGGAAGGAAAAGAAGAAUGAGGAACGAAAGAAAGGAGGAAGAGAAAGGGGAAGGAAGAAAGGAAGAAGAGAAUGAGGAAGGAAGGAAAGGAGGAAGAGAGGAAUAAGGAAGAGAAAGGGGAAGGAAGGAAGGAAAGGAAGAGAAUGAGGAAGGAAGGAAAGGAGGAAGAGAGGGGCGUAGGAAGGAAGAGAAAGGAGGAACGAAGAAGAGGGAGGGAGGAAAGGAGGAAGAGAGAGGAAUAGGAAGGAAGAGAGGAAGGAAGAAGAGGGAGGGAGGAAAGGAGGAAGGGAGGAAUGGGGAGGAAGAAAGGGAAUGAGGAAGAGAGGAAAAGGGAAGGGGAAGGGGAAGGAAGGAAGGAAAGGAAGAGAAUGAGGAAGGAAGGAAAGGAGGAAGAGAGGGGCGUAGGAAGGAAGAGAAAGGAGGAACGAAGAAGAGGGAGGGAGGAAAGGAGGAAGAGAGAGGAAUAGGAAGGAAGAGAGGAAGGAAGAAGAGGGAGGGAGGAAAGGAGGAAGGGAGGA